ACUUCUUUAUCACCGAGUGCUUGCACUCACCGGUAGAGGGUUGAGUGGCGAACGGGUGAGUAACACGUGGGCAACCUGCCCAAAAGAGGGGGAUAACACUUGGAAACAGGUGCUAAUACCGCAUAACCAUAGUUACCGCAUGGUAGCUAUGUAAAAGGUGGCUAUGCUACCGCUUUUGGAUGGGCCCGCGGCGCAUUAGCUAGUUGGUGGGGUAAAGGCUUACCAAGGCAAUGAUGCGUAGCCGAACUGAGAGGUUGAUCGGCCACAUUGGGACUGAGACACGGCCCAAACUCCUACGGGAGGCAGCAGUAGGGAAUCUUCCACAAUGGGCGAAAGCCUGAUGGAGCAACGCCGCGUGGGUGAAGAAGGUCUUCGGAUCGUAAAACCCUGUUGUUAGAGAAGAAAGUGCGUGAGAGUAACUGUUCACGUUUCGACGGUAUCUAACCAGAAAGCCACGGCUAACUACGUGCCAGCAGCCGCGGUAAUACGUAGGUGGCAAGCGUUAUCCGGAUUUAUUGGGCGUAAAGGGAACGCAGGCGGUCUUUUAAGUCUGAUGUGAAAGCCUUCGGCUUAACCGGAGUAGUGCAUUGGAAACUGGGAGACUUGAGUGCAGAAGAGGAGAGUGGAACUCCAUGUGUAGCGGUGAAAUGCGUAGAUAUAUGGAAGAACACCAGUGGCGAAAGCGGCUCUCUGGUCUGUAACUGACGCUGAGGUUCGAAAGCGUGGGUAGCAAACAG
rnacentral:rRNA from 1 species